GAUGAACGCUGGCGGCGUGCUUAACACAUGCAAGUCGAACGGUGAAGCCAAGCUUGCUUGGUGGAUCAGUGGCGAACGGGUGAGUAACACGUGAGCAACCUGCCCUGGACUCUGGGAUAAGCGCUGGAAACGGCGUCUAAUACUGGAUAUGAGCUCUCAUCGCAUGGUGGGGGUUGGAAAGAUUUUUCGGUCUGGGAUGGGCUCGCGGCCUAUCAGCUUGUUGGUGAGGUAAUGGCUCACCAAGGCGUCGACGGGUAGCCGGCCUGAGAGGGUGACCGGCCACACUGGGACUGAGACACGGCCCAGACUCCUACGGGAGGCAGCAGUGGGGAAUAUUGCACAAUGGGCGGAAGCCUGAUGCAGCAACGCCGCGUGAGGGAUGACGGCCUUCGGGUUGUAAACCUCUUUUAGCAGGGAAGAAGCGAGAGUGACGGUACCUGCAGAAAAAGCGCCGGCUAACUACGUGCCAGCAGCCGCGGUAAUACGUAGGGCGCAAGCGUUAUCCGGAAUUAUUGGGCGUAAAGAGCUCGUAGGCGGUUUGUCGCGUCUGCUGUGAAAUCCCGAGGCUCAACCUCGGGCCUGCAGUGGGUACGGGCAGACUAGAGUGCGGUAGGGGAGAUUGGAAUUCCUGGUGUAGCGGUGGAAUGCGCAGAUAUCAGGAGGAACACCGAUGGCGAAGGCAGAUCUCUGGGCCGUAACUGACGCUGAGGAGCGAAAGGGUGGGGAGCAAAUAGGCUUAGAUACCCUGGUAGUCCACCCCGUAAACGUUGGGAACUAGUUGUGGGGACCAUUCCACGGUUUCCGUGACGCAGCUAACGCAUUAAGUUCCCCGCCUGGGGAGUACGGCCGCAGGGCUAAAACUCAAAGGAAUUGACGGGGACCCGCACAAGCGGCGGAGCAUGCGGAUUAAUUCGAUGCAACGCGAAGAACCUUACCAAGGCUUGACAUACACCAGAACUCCGUAGAAAUACGGGACUCUUUGGACACUGGUGAACAGGUGGUGCAUGGUUGUCGUCAGCUCGUGUCGUGAGAUGUUGGGUUAAGUCCCGCAACGAGCGCAACCCUCGUUCUAUGUUGCCAGCACGUAAUGGUGGGAACUCAUGGGAUACUGCCGGGGUCAACUCGGAGGAAGGUGGGGAUGACGUCAAAUCAUCAUGCCCCUUAUGUCUUGGGCUUCACGCAUGCUACAAUGGCCGGUACAAAGGGCUGCAAUACCGUGAGGUGGAGCGAAUCCCAAAAAGCCGGUCCCAGUUCGGAUUGAGGUCUGCAACUCGACCUCAUGAAGUCGGAGUCGCUAGUAAUCGCAGAUCAGCAACGCUGCGGUGAAUACGUUCCCGGGUCU
rnacentral:rRNA from 1 species